rnacentral:lncRNA from 1 species
UUUAUUCCAAAAAUAUCUUCAAGAUGUAACUCCUUGAUGCACUUACAUGAACAUGAGAUCCAUUUGAAAAACCCCUAAUCUUCUAUGAAAACAUCAUCCAACUUCAAGUAUUUCAGUCAAUCGCAGCGUUUGAAAACUCGGCCUAGGCGGGCGCUAGGCGGCUAGGCGGUCGCUAAGCGGUUGCUAGGCGGCUAGGAGGUAGCUAGGCGGGCGCUAGGCUGCUAGGCGGUCGCUAGGCGGGCGCUAGGCGGCUAGGCGGUCGCUAAGCGGUUGCUAGGCGGCUAGGAGGUAGCUAGGCGGGCGCUAGGCUGCUAGGCGGUC